AUGACGUGACGUGCCCGCACCAACGUGCUCUACGAGCUGCUGACGAUGACGACGACGACGACGACGACGACGACGACGACGGCCACGAAUACUCCGAACGCGCCGCUCGUGAUCAUCGUGACGCGACCGCAUACACAACGUGCGCCUCGCACAGUUACUACUACCGCGUUCUCGCCAGGCUAGGCCACUUUACGUCGAACAAGGCCCACUUCCCUUCCUCCUCCCCCUCCUCUUCUCCUCCUGCCGUCCUUCUCCCUCGCUCGCUGUGCGACUGAUUCAUUCUCAUCGCCGACCCCACUUCCCCCCCGCGCCUCUUCCGCUCCCACAGUCACACCACCACUGAUGUUCGCACUACUACCAUCCACCAGCGCGUCACACGGCCUUUCCCUCUCUGUCUCCCCCAGACUCUGCCACUCAACCUCGUUUUAACAUCUACGCAGGGCCGCAUGCGGAGAGUUGCCCGAUGAGACGCGACAGCUGAUCCUCGGGCUUCUUGAAUGUAUCCCCAGUGAGCUCUAUAAUAUACCGGAUUGAGCCUGAAGAAGACAGGUAAACGAAGGCUGGACUAAUCUGGCUGUGUCAGCCAGUCACAUCUGCGGCACCUUAAGUGAUACGUGCUGCUGACACAGAAUCGAUCCUACCAACAUCUAUCUGCCUUCUGAAGGCUCAUCCCAGGAUUCUACAGUGACCACCGAAUAAUGAACGGAUGAGCUCAUCAUAACGAGAAAAGACAGCGAACCGUCCGAUCCUGCGUCUAUCGUUGUCUGAAAGAAGAUUUCACGUGUUGAGGCUCAUUCGCAUCGGGAUACGCUCCGUGGAGAAAAUUGGAAAGGGAACGGCCGCAGCAGUGGCUUACCAGUUGACUCUUACUAAAAGACACUGACUUCGAACUCGUCCGAGAUUCUGCAGGCGAGAGGAAACACGCGACCACAUCGGGGCUUCCUGUACGAACGACGAAUUUCUACGGCGCGAUUUCGACGACUCGACGGGGGUUCGUAGCACGUCGCGACCUUAUUAUUGUAAUUCCAUUCCUAGAAGCAGGAGACACGUAGAAGCACGUACAUGCCGAAUAAAGUAAACGAGUAUGCGAGGACAGCGUGUGGCGUAACGUGUUGCGACGCGGGAACGCGUUCACGGAGGCACACACGCACACCGAUCUGGUUUCUGGUUAUUUCGUUUUCGCCUGACCCUCGCCUGUGUACGCGCGAAUCAGAGGCAGGAAACGAUGACGCGGCUUGAAUAAUGUGUACACGAGAGAAACCGGAAGUCGUUCAAAGGCGACGAAAAAUCCUGUGGGACGUUAGAGCAUUAUCAACGCAUGCUUCUGGAAGUGAUUCAAAGAGGAUAUUGUUUUUCCUUAAAGAGAGAAAAAGGAGGGGGAGAUAUUUAGAAGCAUAAACGUAAAAUCAAUAAAACUUUGCCAUCGUUAA